ACCGUGUUAUAGACGGCAGAGCAAUUAAAGACGAGGAGUGUGACGGGGACACUUUCGAACAAAGCCCGUUCGCUUGGCUACACCGAGGCAAAGCCACCACUCACGCCAGAAAAAAUCUCGUCUCUAAAGGCGAUGCUUGCCAUCUACAUGGGCGACGUGACAAAGGAGGUGGCGGACAAGCGAAUGAAAAUGGUCCGCAAGCAUUUGUCACAAAAGCUUGGUGACGUGCAGCGGCGCUGAAUUGUGUGUAUCAGCCACGGACAUUAAGGUGUUCAAUAAAUCUAUCAGUCGGA